rnacentral:rRNA from 1 species
CGAGCGAACGGGGAACAGCCCAAACCGUAACAGUUACGGCUGUUGCGGGGUUGUAGGACUGCACUGUGGACUAUACAAACGAAUCGGAAUGGUUUGGGAAAGCCAAUCAAAGAGGGUGAGAAUCCCGUACGAGUAAAGUUGUAUUACCUAGCAGUAUCCUGAGUAGGGCGGGACCGGAGAAAUCCCGUCUGAAUCCACCGGCACCAUCCGGUAAGGCUAAAUACUCCUGAGAGACCGAUAGUGAACCAGUACCGUGAGGGAAAGGUGAAA